rnacentral:rRNA from 1 species
UGGGGAAUUUUCCGCAAUGGGGGGAACCCUGACGGAGCAACGCCGCGUGCGGGAGGACGGCCUGUGGGUUGUAAACCGCUUUUCUCUGUGAAGAAGAUCUGACGGUAGCAGAGGAAUCAGCAUCGGCUAACUCCGUGCCAGCAGCCGCGGUAAGACGGAGGAUGCAAGCGUUGUUCGGAAUCACUGGGCGUAAAGGGCGCGUAGGCGGCUGUUUAAGUCGAGGGUGAAAGCCCGGGGCUCAACCCCGGAACGGCCUUCGAGACUGGGCAGCUCGAGACCGGAAGAGGAGGGUGGAAUACCCAGUGUAGAGGUGAAAUUCGUAGAUAUUGGGUGGAACACCAGUGGCGAAAGCGGCUCUCUGGUCCGGAUCUGACGCUGAGGCGCGAAAGCGUGGGGAGCAAACAGGAUUAGAUACCCCGGUAGUCC